rnacentral:misc_RNA from 1 species
UACAGAGGGUGCGAGCGUUAAUCGGAAUUACUGGGCGUAAAGGGUGCGUAGGUGGUUAAUUAAGUCAGAUGUGAAAUCCCAAGGCUUAACCUUGGAAUGGCAUUUGAUACUGGUUGGCUAGAGUACAGAAGAGGGAAGUGGAAUUUCCGGUGUAGCGGUGAAAUGCGUAGAUAUCGGAAGGAACAUCAGUGGCGAAGGCGACUUCCUGGCUCGAUACUGACGCUGAGGUGCGAAAGCGUGGGGAGCAAACAGG